rnacentral:lncRNA from 1 species
GAUCGAAAUUUUGGGAUUUCAGACAUUAUUUUUGUAAUAAUUAAUUAUGUCUCCGUUUGUAGCAUUGAGGAACAGGAAAGAAAGACAACUACGAAAAGGAAGAGAUGAGAAGUCAAGUGAACAGAGCCUGCACAAAAUCCUCUUCCUAAACUUGAUUGACCGUUCCUGUGCAAGACACAAUUUUUUUUCUUUUCAUCAUCUGUUGUUUUGUUUUCUUAAUUAGUUUCUGUUUCUUUUUCCUGAAUACCUUUUCAACGAUUAAUUUUUUGUUUCUAAUUUUUCAGUUUUUGUUUCGCGCCUAUUCUGUUUUUCAUCUUCAUAAAUUUCCGGGUUUUAUUGUCUUUAACAAGACUGUGUGAGUAAAUAUAUUUGUUUGAGUUGGUGUCAAUAACUCAUGAAUAUUGCAGUUUGUACAUUUUUUUUCUCGAGGUC